CAUCAACUAUUUUUAGCGACCCUUUAGGUUUCCAUAAACAAUCAGAAGAGCAAUCAUCAUAAUCUCUUCAUCUGCCAUGGCUUCGUCGGCGAUCUCUAAUCUGAUGCUCUCCAUUAACGAGAAGAAGACGAACUCACUCGAUCUUUACCAUACUCUCCGCAACUACAUUGCUUUCACUUGCUCCAAGCACGAGUAACCCUAGAGACGAUCUAGAAACCCUAAAGAGCCUCCGCUCCGAUAGAAUGAGUCAUCGACCCGUCUCCCUCCGCCCGGAAAGACUUUCUCACUCUUAUUACAAACCUCUCUGCCUGGUGCCUCUCCCGAGAAGCAUCACAUCAAAAGCCACUCAGCAGAACAUUAAUUUUGAGAAAGCAGCCGUUCUCUCAAUACCACCAAUGAUUGGUUGCCUUCUUCUCGGUCUAUUAUUAAUAUAGAGAAUUGUUAUAAACCGUGUAAAUCGGUAAUUGAGAUUAGAUUGAUGUAAACCGUGUAAACCGGUAUCUCUAUUACUAUAAAUGUUCGGUUGUAACAGAAAGGUGAAUAACAAAAAAUCAUUUUCCAUUUUGAGCUUCGUCUUCGACUCUAUCGAGCUCAACUGAUAUGGUAUCAGAGCCAGCCGUCGAAAGUGUAUCGGAAUCGAAGAAGAAUCACGCAGAAGCAGCCUCAGGGCAUUGGGAGACAGAUUCCAGGGUGUUUGGGUCGGAUGUUAAACCUAUUCGACUUCAGAACAGUCAGUACUGGGAAGAAGUUUCUCCCUGAUAAACCCUUCUUCGAUGAUGGAUGCCAUAAGAGUCAAUGGAACACCAAUAAAGAAGCUUUUAGAAGAGGAGUUGUCAAAAGAACUGGAAUUGACGGUCGGUGGUGGUUCGACUAAUUUGGUUGCCAAGUUAAUGGGUCUUGAUUCCUUUCAACAUUCUCAAAGGAGUAACAACAGCUCCAAACCUCGGCUGAAGAGGUCGUUAAGUCACGGGGAGUGUAAAGAUAUCUACGAGGUUUGGGAGAAACCAGGUGUGGUGGGGAGUUUGGGGAAGAUGUAGCAAUACAAAUGUUUCGAGUCAUCAUUAGCAUCAAAACCCAAACUUUAACAGAUGCAAAGCAGAGAGGUGAUAAUUUGAUUUAUCUGUAUUUGAUGUCCCUAUCCCAACUGAGUUUUUCAGGUUUCUGCCUCUUUAACACAACUACUACCGGUUUCCGAACUAACCAUUUCCCAACUACGUAGAGACUGCACGACUGUGUGUCUAUGUGUGUUUGGGUGACUUGCCGGACUCCUUCACAAGAAAUUGGAAACGACUCAGUUCCUUUAUCCGAGUCUUCGGGUAAAGAUAUGGUUGGUUAAUAUUUUGAGGCAAGAAAAGGUGCCAGCGGUGCCAUGGUAGAGAAAAAUAAGAUUUCUUCUGGUUUGGACCACCAGGCAAGUAAAGUAAAAUAGAGCUUGAAUGCUAAACAACGGAAGAUUUGAGGGUUGAUUUUGUUGUGUGUUUGUUUUGGAAAAGCAUGUGGUUGUUCUUAGAGUAUCUCUUGAUUCUCUUCACUGUUAAUGUAGAGGCUGUGAAGGAAAAGUGAAGAAACAUCUAUCUAGAAUGCAAGGUCAAUUGAUAUAAUUUGUGUUUUAAAGUAGCUAACUAGAAUCAUGAAUUAGGACAAUCAACAACUAGAGAAUGUGUUCAUUACCUGAAUAUAAUCAUGCUGAUUGCUGAGUUAGGUUGUUAGCAAUGCCGAUCCGAAGUCCGUUGGCACCUAAACCGCAUACAAAAAAUGUUGCCCCUUAGUUACAAUUUUUUGGCACUUAUAAAUUAUUAAAAUAAAUUAGUAAAAUGCUUCUCUUGAUUGACCUAACAAUGGAACUGUUUGAUUUGAUGCCUGAGAGGAAUAUAAUCUCAUGGAACCCGAUUUUGGAUGUAUAUAUGCGUGCUAAUGAAUAAGAUGAGGCACUGGAUUUUUUAACUUUGAUGCGCUAGGAGAUAGAAGAUAUUGAUAAUCUCACACUUGUGUAGAUUCUAAAUGACUGCUCUACUCAGGUGUUUCAGAUGUUCAAAUGGGGAAGCAAGCUCAUGGUUUUAUCUACCGACAUGGAUACGAUAUGCAUUUGAUUAUAUCCAAUCAAUUCUUGAUAAUAUGGCAAAUGCGGUACCUUUUAGAGUGCCAAUGUUUUGUUUGGUCAGAUGAGUGAACUAAAGGAUGAGGUUUCAUGGAAUGCUUUAUUGGCUGGUUUAGCUCGAGUUGACAGGAGUGAACGAACCAGCCUUAUCUUUCUUUGAAGGGAUGCAACUUGAGGCAAAACCUAGCAAGUACACACUAGCUACGCUCUUCGUGGGUUGUGCAAACAUUCCUUCUCUUAAUUUAGGCAAAGUAACCCACAGGUUCCUGAUCAGAAACGGCUAUGAUAUUGAUGUUGUUAUACGGGGUCCUAUGGUUGACAUGCAGAGCUAUCCAAGUAUUCGAAGAGGCAGCUAUACGGGACUUGAUGCUAUGGAAUUCUAUGAUCCGUGGAUGCUGUCGUAAUGGAAGAAGCAAAGAGGUGUUUGAGUUGUUCAUGUUUAUGGAAAGAUGAAGGAGUUAGAAGUUUGUAAAACUUGUUAGAUGCUCUCAUUAUGUUUAUACCUCACUUAAUCUGUUUUGUCUGAUGUCCUUUGAUGAAUAAUAAAACCGGAAGUUUGAUUUUAGCAUCAUAUCCUAAAAGCAUAAGUGGACUCUGUCAAUCAUUG